GUUUUCCAGCUUAAGCGAAGCUCCCUGAAACCAGAUCCUGCUUGGGCGUCUACAGCCUGAAAGGCAGAGCCUCUUGUGUAUGUGAAACGUGAUUGUCUGCUGCUGGGCUUUUAGGUGCCCAGCCUCUGCCUGGCUUCCACAUGUGCCCGCCCGCACUCUGUGCCCAUGCCUCCCCAUCAGACUUGUACACUGACCCCUUCGGAAAUGAGCGCCUGGCCUGCCCUUAUGGACAUUGCUUGGAUCACUUGUUGCCCUGUUCUGGCCCAGCAGUGUCACUUCUGCCAGACCCCAACUUGGAGCUUCCUGAGCUCUGAUUUCAUUGCUGAGCAACCUGUAACAGUUCCCUCGGGAGUUCACAGAAAACAAUUAUGACCUCACAUAAAUAAAAUAUUCUGCUUAAUAAUAAACUGGAUCUUUUAAUUGUUAAAAAUGUUCAUUGUAGAAAAAUCAGAGGAGAAAAAAGAAACAAAACUAAUGACUUAUAAUCACAUUACUUGGAGACACUGUUACUAUUUUGGUUUAUGUUCUUUUAGACUUUUUUCUCAUUUCACUUAUUGUUUACUUACUUGAUUUUUAUUUUAUCAAAGUAAUGUCAGCACAGAAUUGUAAAAACUCAAAUAGUUCUAACAGGCUUUUGUAAAAUGCAGUGUUUCCAUCUCUCCCUUCCCCACUCUCUCCACAUUUCCACUCUAAGGACAAGCACUUUCAAUUCUUUUAUCUGUCUCUCUGGCCCUUACACAUCUAAUUAUUUCCAAAAUUUAGACAUUAUCUACUGACUUCCUAUUGUAGCAAAUGAAGAUUUAGCUUUCUUACAAUGUCCCCAUCUCCGAAUCCCUUUCUCUAUCCUCCCAACAUAGUCCUUCCAAAUUGUUGGAGGCAAUAUUCAGAAUAUUAAUAUACAUAUACAAAUAAUCUUCACAGCUGAAGGUUGGAGUGUGACAUUUCCUUCUUUUCAUUUCUUUUCCUGAAAGUAACAAUGGCCCAUGUCUUUAUUUAGUUAGUUUUGUUUGUGCUCAUUGCUUGUUCUUUGCACACAUCUCACAGCCCACGGUGUAAGUUUCCUCGAGCUGACUUGCAUCAGGGAAUCCAUCAAUCCCAUUUUUCUUGCCUGAAGGCACUCCCUUGGAAGCUUCCAUUCUCCUUCCUGUGCCGCUUGCUUCCUGGGAUCCCUGGGCAGCUCUUAUCCUGGGAUUUCUGUUUGCUAUAAUUCUUGGAAUUCCCCUUAUCUUUGUCCUGUGCUGUAUUUGUUUUUCUGGAUCUCAUGCCUUUCUUUCUUGUUGUACAGGUAAUGUUGUCAUGAACAUUAAUGUUUAUGUCUUUUGGUGUACAUGUGUGUGCAUUUCUCUUGGGUGGAUAUAUAGAAAGGGGAUUUCCGGGUCUUAGGGGAUGGGUUUUUCCAGUUUUAGUUGAUACUGCCAGUUUUCCAAAGUAACUGCACCAAUUUAUGCUCCUACUGGCAGUUUCAUUGGCCCCCACAUCCUCACCAGUAAUUGAUAUUGUUGGUUUUAAAAUAUGAGCCAUUCUAAUUGGGUGCAUACUGGUAUUUCAUUGUGAUUUUAAUUUGAACCUCUUGAUGACUUACGAUAAUAAAUGUUUCUAGUCAUUUGUAUAUCUUAUUCAAAAAGUGCCUAUUUAAGUUUCUGUCCAUUUUUCUAUUGGCUUAUCUGUCAUUUUCUUACUAAUAAUUAUUUUUUCUAGAUAAAAAUUUUUUAAUCAGAUACAUCAUUGUAAAUAUUUUUCUGCCUUUUGAUGACAUGCUUUUUCACAAUGUACACAAAUUCUUCACUUUUCCAAUUCAUUAAUCUUUUCCUUUAGGGAUGAUUUUUAAAAAUGUCUUAUUUAAUGUCUUUGUCUACUCAAGAGUCAUGAAGAUAUCUCCUUAUUUUAUUUUUAAGAAGCUAUAUUUGUGUUACCUCUCAGAUUUAGAUUUACUCAGAUUUUAAAAAAUUCUCCCUGGGCCUGAUUUUGUGUAUGGUGUGAGGUAGUGGCCCAGGUUAAUCUUUUUCCAUAAAUAUAUGCAAUAUUAAAGAGUUUGUAUUUGAUUGGCAUUACUUCUUCCUAAUUAGUCUGGAAGACUUCACUGAUGAAUUUUCUGGAGUUUUCAUUUCAUUGUAUUCUGCCAUUGCUGGACAUAGUAUUCUGUAUGUGCCCAUCUGGUCAUGUUAAUUGUGUUGUUUAGAGCCUCUACAUUUUUACUGAUUUUAUUUUUGUCUGCAUGUUCUACUAGUUUCAGGGACUGUGUCAAAAUAUCCUACUUUUUUUGAUUAGUUUUAUUUAUUUCAUUUCUAGUUUCAUCAAUUUGCAUUUGUGUAUUUUUUUUUGGUUUCACCAAUUUCUUCUUUAUAUAUUUUGAAGCUAUGUUAUUGGAUGCAUAUGAUUUAGAAUUGGUAGACGUGAUAUCUUCAUGGUGAUCUGAGCACUUCAUUAUAUUAUGAUCCUCCUCAUUUCUUGUGGUGUUUCUUGCUUUAAAGUUGACUUUGAUUGUAACAUAACUACAAGGCACUCUUCAAAACAGUAUGUAGUUCUUUUAACUUUUAAUCUAAUCUGAUUAUUUUAAUCUUUUAACUGAAAUAUUUAACCCAAUACAGAUAUAUUCAGAUUUAUAUCUGCCAUCUAAUAUUUCCUUUGUAUUUGACUCAGCUGUUCUGUUGUUUUCUUGCUUUCUUUUAAGUGAAUUGAUUUUUUAAAUACUAUUUUCUGUUAUACAUCUUCUUUUAGAAGUUAUGCUAGAAGUUACAGUAAACAUUCAUGACUAACUACAGUUGAGUAUAUUUUCAACUUCCCUGAUAAUGCUGGAACUUUGGUAUAUUUUAACUCCACUUAUUUUUUUCCUCUCCAGUAACUUUUCUUGCCUUGAAUUUUUAAUUCUAGAUAAAUGUUAUAGACUAAAUUGCAUCCCCUCAAAAUUCAUAUUUGAAGCCCUGACCCACAAUGUGGCUGUAUUUUGAGACAGGGCCUUUAAAAAGGUUAUUAAGGUUAAGUAAGGUCAUGAUGGCGGAGCCCUAAUCCAAUAUAAUUGGUGUAUAACCUUAUAAGAAGAGCAAGAGGAACCAGGGAUGUGCACAUGCAGAGUAAAGAACAUGUGAGAGCUCAAUGAGAAGACAGUCCUCUGCAAGCCAGGUAGAGAGGGCUCAGAAGAAACCAACCCCACUGACCCCUUAAUCUUGGACUUCUGCCUCCAGAACUGUGGGAAAAUAGAAGAUAUCUCAUUAUGUAUACGCGAAUAUUCCAAAAUCCAAAAAAACAAAUCCCAAAUAUGGACCCAAACACUUCUGAUCCCAAGCAUAUUGAAAAAGAAAUACUCAACCUGUAUUUGAAACUUCAAAGACAUAAUUACUCUUGUUUUGUAGGGUCAAUAUUCAUUUGUAUUUUAAAUACAUAUACACUAUUCGGUGCUCCUCAUUCCUACCUGCAUUUUUUCAUUUCUGUCUGAUACCAUUUUUCUGAAGAAUUCCCUUCAGUGUUUUUUUCAGUACAGGCCAGCAGGUGAUUGUUUAUUUUGCUUUAUUUUUAAAGGAUAUUUUUUGUUGAGUUUGGAAUUGUAACUUGGCAAAUAUUGUCUUUUA
rnacentral:lncRNA from 1 species